AGUGAACGCUGGCGGUAGGCCUAACACAUGCAAGUCGAACGGCAGCACAGUAAGAGCUUGCUCUUACGGGUGGCGAGUGGCGGACGGGUGAGGAAUACAUCGGAAUCUACUUUUUCGUGGGGGAUAACGUAGGGAAACUUACGCUAAUACCGCAUACGACCUACGGGUGAAAGCAGGGGAUCUUCGGACCUUGCGCGAUUGAAUGAGCCGAUGUCGGAUUAGCUAGUUGGCGGGGUAAAGGCCCACCAAGGCGACGAUCCGUAGCUGGUCUGAGAGGAUGAUCAGCCACACUGGAACUGAGAAACGGUCCAGAGUCCUAAGGGAGGCAGCAGUGGGGAAUAUUGGACAAUGGGCGCAAGCCUGAUCCAGCCAUACCGCGUGGGUGAAGAAGGCCUUCGGGUUGUAAAGCCCUUUUGUUGGGAAAGAAAAGCAGCAGGUUAAUACCCCGCUGUUCUGACGGUACCCAAAGAAUAAGCACCGGCUAACUUCGUG
rnacentral:rRNA from 1 species